UAUGAAACAUCAAAUUGUCUUACAACCCUAAUGGUGUUCUAUUACUUAUUGGAUAAUCAUUUACACAUACUAAAAAUUAAGAUUCUUACCUGUUAUGCUGUAAAAUUUGCCAAAUCCCGUCUUUAUUAGGAUAUCUAUUCACUGCAUGAACAAUUUUCUCAAAUUAGAGCUCAAGUAAAGUUUGUCUUAUAAGUGUAAGAGGACCAAGUUGCUAGUCAAUUGAACUAAAAUUACAGCUCAUAUAAAGUCUAUAAAAAUCAUAACUCAACAAACCCCACACUUCAUAUACUAAAUCGAGUAGUAUAUUUCUCUAAAGGCACAAGUGAAAAUGCAAAUUAGAAGAAUAUGAGUAAGCACAACAAAACUUACCUAAUGAAAGGAACUCCUAGAUAACCAGAAAACCAUCAAUUGAAUAACCAUACUUAGAGUUUAUUCUUUACCAUGUACACAAGUGAAAGAACACUUUGUUUUUUUACCAUGCUUUGGGUUUGUAAACUAUAAUAACUAAUAUGUACAAGAAAAAUAUCAAUUGAUACAAACAACAUAACAAUAUGUCAUGCCAAAUUUAUUUUCCUAAACUCUCAAUCCAAAGUCAUAUAACAAAUUAAUAGCAAUAACAGAAGAAUUGCUGAUUAACUAUGAAUGUUGACAGUUAUUGCAUUCUCAGAAUAGGUAGAGAAAAAAAGCAAGCAACUAAUAAACUCUUUUGUCACCUUUUACAUGAUGUUCUUAUAUUCCCUACAAGAAUUUCUUUUAUAUGCAUUGAAAUUUCUAUUGUCCAAACAAAUCAACAAAUUGUAAGUUCAAUUGCACCAGUUGUCACUUAACCCUAACUAUCAAUCAAUUUUGUGAUUUCAAAUAAGAGACAUUCAUGGUCACCUAUAUUCCAUUUAUGCCCAAUUAACUGAGUAUUCCAUCACAAAAUUUUAACUUUCAUGUGAACAAAAUAUGAUAAUGAGAAACUUGUGUAGGAUGAAAUUUUCAACAAAAGAAAGAAUAUCUCACAAAUAAGAAUUUCUGCUUAACUGUGAGUAUUUACAGUCAUCGUAUUCUCAAAAUAGGCAAAGAAAAGAAGUAAGCAACUAAUAAAAUCUUUUUUCACUUUUCACAUGAUUCUCUUAUACUUACCACAAGAAUUUUUUUUGUAUGCGUUGAAAUUUCUGUUGUCCUAAUAAAGCAAUAAAUUGUAAAUCUAAUUAAAUCACAUGUAACUUAACCCCAACUACGAGUCAUCGUUUUUUCAAAUAGCAGACAUUCGCUAAACCUAUGUCCAAAUCAUGCGCAAUUCAUUGGGAAUUCCAUCUUUCUUUCUUUUUUUUUUCCUCAAAAUUCCAUAUUAAAUAGUGUAUAUAUUAUCUAAAUAGUGUGUAAAUAUUUUUAGUUAAUAGCCUGGUACAUCUGACAAAAGAUAAAUUUGUUUGAUCGUUUCAAGAAAAUAGAGUUUCUUACCUCUAUUAAAUUUGAAAUCUCCAACUAUUGCAAGACCUCAAACCCUUGGAUUAUGCAGUUUCUCCCCCUAAAAAACACCAUGGGUCUUCUUUAGGAGGAAUUCAGGCAGUUGUUCCUUGAUGAAAUAAGCGUCCGGCUAAGAUCCAAUGAGGUUUUU
rnacentral:lncRNA from 1 species